rnacentral:rRNA from 1 species
AGCUUAUAGAAUUUAUUAUAAGUAUUUUCUGCCCGGUGUUUGGUGUUAAAUAAACGGCCGCGGUAUCUUGACCGUGCAAAGGUAGCAUAAUCAUUUGUCUAUUAAUUGUAGACUGGAAUGAAAGGAGUGACGUAAAAAUAAUUGUCUCUGGAUAAUUUAAUUUAAUUUUCUUUUUAUGUGAAGAAGCAUAAAUUUUCUUAAAAGACGAGAAGACCCUAUUGAAUUUAAUUUUUUUGUUAAAAGGUUUAUAUUUCUUUUUUGAUUUAAAAAUUUGGUUGGGGCAACCUAAGAGGAAAAGAAUCUCUUUUUUUAUUUUGAUCCGCUUUUAGCGACUGUUAGAAUAAAUUACCAUAGGGAUAACAGCGUUAUUUCUUUUGAGAGUUCAUAUCGAUAAAGAAGAUUGCGACCUCGAUGUUGGACUAAAAUUUCCUUAGGGUGAAGGUUUUCUUAAGGGUGGGUCUGUUCGACCUUUAAAAUUUU